CUGUAGAAUAUGUGGAGCUAUAGGUGGGCUGAAACAAGGAUCGAACUAGCACCACGUUAGUUAUAAAAAGCAAGUUGAAUAAACGCUCAACGGUGGUACUGUGCUGGUCCUAGCCUAGACCGUGCUAGAGACGCGAGCCUGAACACAAAGGGAAAACACAGCACACCACUAGAAACAAAAUGAGCAGCCCUACUGGAAACAAAAGGAACAACAAUCCCCUUUUUUUAUUUUUUUUAUUUUUUCUUUCUUUCUUUCUUUCUUUUUCUUUAUUUUUUUUUCUCUUUUCUUUUUUUUGGGGAACCUCAAAACCUGAUUAUAUAAACAAAAUAGUACAAAAUAUCACUUCACCACUCUCACUCUCUCACUAGAGUAAGGCUGAACCUCAAAAUUCAAUAUAUCUAGCACAAGUAUGAAGUGCUAUCUUUCCUUUUGGAUCACGUUGAUGGAAACACAGAAUAGACCAACAAGUGGCUGCACCUAUUAUCAAGAUCUACUCAAAUUCCAACCCACAAUAGAUUGGACGCAGUUGUGACUAGAUGGUGACAAGAACUCAAAACUCUAAAGGACUAAACUAAAACCAGCACUGGACACGACCGAAGCAAACACUCAUUCAACUAGCCCUAACUAAGUAGUACUAGCCACGGCAGAAAGGAUUUAUAGGAUUAUGGAAAAGUAAUCUGCUAUAUUUUUUGGCUUUUUUUUUACUAUAGGAAAAACAAACACGAAGAAUUGGAAAUCUCUCACCGAUAAACCUUGCUCUGAUUACCAACUGAUGUGAACCCACUAGGGUUUUUGCCUGAUCUUUCGAUGAGAGGCGCUGGAUAACUCGAUUAGUGAAUGGAGAUGACGUUCACGGCCCGACUACAGCCUUCUAAGGCCGCGCCUUAGCAACCGAUACACUGCCUCCAAUGGCUGUCACGGUCUUGUGGAGCGCAACACCCGGCCACUAGGGCACUCGUCCUGCAAGCAAUCGAAGAACCAGCAAGAACAAGUAGAACAAGUACUAAAUUACUAGAUGUAAAUGAAGGUUUCAAACUCAAUCUCUAAUGAAGUGGGGUUUCGAAAACAAGAAGACGGGCGGCUGGAUCAGCACGCGCGUUUACAAGCAAGUAGCGAAGGCUAAACUUUAUCUAAUCAAAACCCAGUUGUUCAUGGCGGCUCUAGAUGUAAAUAAAUAGAUGGGAGGACGACCAAAGGGGUGCUAGAGUCGUCCUCCAACCCUAGGACACGUCCCUAAUGGACUCAACUUGAUACAUGGGCCAUUGGUCCAAAAUAGAGUGACGCAGCACCAAAACAGAAAAACGUGUCGGCACAAAAACAAGGACUGCGCCCGACUCAUAAGCUGCAUAGAUAUGUGGUUGGACCCAUUGGAAAGUAGACUUCAUGAGCUUUCCAACAAGUAUAGGAACGUCCCAGUUGGAGUCCAUAUGACGCCGUGGUGAUCCAUACAAGUUAGAGUUAUUUUCCAGUCCGAAUCCAACUCCCAAAACGUGUUGGGUUUGAACUCUUUGUUUCCUUGCUUUAGAAGCGACGUGGUAACUUGAUAGAGGAUGUUGUGGAGGCUUGGACCUGAUCUCCAAUCACCUUUCUUAAGUUAUCACUCUUCCCAUAUGCAAUCAGCCCUUGAAGUUGGUGUUGCCUCAAAUUUCGAAUGCAGUUGAACCUUCCCUUGCUGAUCUUGUCCAUUAUUCCUAAGCAACACGAAAGUGCACGUGUCUCCAUUGUCUAAAUAUGAUUGACAAGAGUUUAAAACUGAACUUACUUGAAGGUUGAGUUGACGGGCACGAGCAUGAGUAAGAGGACCAACUGGUGUAGGUAUAUCGAUGGUGUUGAUGUCCUCAUCAUCCUCCCUUUCUUGGAUUUGAGUCGUCCUCGACUCAAGCUCAUGUUCCUCACCCAAAUAUGGUUUCAAAUCAGCAAGUAUGUCCUCCGUCUUCUUUGCUCCAAAAUGUCCCAUCAAACCUCCUCCAUGAGCUUCCUGUAACAACAACAAACGAACAGAGCUAGCUGGAAUGCAUAGCUUGUUAGCUCUAAACACAAACCCAUCACUAACGAUGAAUUUGUUCCAUCCUUUUCCAUCUUUACAACGCAGCAACACUUCAUUAAAAUCAGCAUCAUGAACAUAUUGGUCUUUGAUCGUUUCUAAUCCAAAAAUCUUGUAAUCAAGUUGAUUUAGCAAAGUAUAUCUCCUUGACAAAGCAUCAGCAAUGAUAUUCUCCUUCCCUUUCUUGUGCUUAAUAACAUAAGGAAAGGAUUCAAUAAAUUCUACCCACUUAGCAUGUCUGCGAUUUAGUUUUCCUUGACUACGAAUAUGUUUUAAAGAUUCAUGAUCAGAAUGAAUAACAAACUCUUUGGGCCACAAAUAAUGUUGCCAUGUUUCUAAAGUUCGGACAAGAGCAUACAAUUCUUUAUCAUAAGUUGAAUAGUUCAGAACAGGCCCACUCAAUUUCUCACUAAAAUAUGCAACAGGUUUACCCUCUUGUAGCAAAACACCUCCCAAACCAAUCCCACUAGCAUCACACUCAAGCUCAAAAGUCUUAUUAAAAUCAGGAAGCUGUAGGAGAGGUGCAUGUGAUAACUUAUCUUUUAACAUGUUGAAGGAAUUCUCUUGUACUUUGCUCCACACAAAAGGCACUCCCUUCUUUGUAAGCUCAUUCAAUGGUGCAGCAAUGGUCCAACUGCCCAAGCUUGUCAUUCGUCACCUUCAAGUCGUCAGCAAGUCCCUCUGUGUGUAGCUUCACUUGCCUUUCAAAAUGUUGUAUGAUGCCCUUAGUGCGAGGUGACUGUGGAAUUUUGUUGGUAUCCUCUGUCUCUGACAUGGUUUAAAAAACACACAGUGGAAACAAGAAAAAUAGGUGAAGAAAUAAAAACCCUACAGCUAUUAGGAUGUGGCUACUGUAAGACGCUGUCUAUCAACCUGUCUAACAAGUUCUUACCAAUUCUUACCUUGCUCAACAGGAGGGAUUGGCUACCAACAAAUCCACAGCAAUAGACGAAGUGUAUCGGUGCCGCAGCAACAAAACCUAUCAAGCUGUAGAAUAUGUGGAGCUAUAGGUGGGCUGAAACAAGGAUCGAACUAGCACCACGUUAGUUAUAAAAAGCAAGUUGAAUAAACGCUCAACGGUGGUACUGUGCUGGUCCUAGCCUAGACCGUGCUAGAGACGCGAGCCUGAACACAAAGGGAAAACACAGCACACCACUAGAAACAAAAUGAGCAGCCCUACUGGAAACAAAAGGAACAACAAUCCCCUUUUUUAUUUUUUUUAUUUUUUCUUUCUUUCUUUCUUUCUUUUUCUUUAUUUUUUUUCUCUUUUCUUUUUUUUGGGGAACCUCAAAACCUGAUUAUAUAAACAAAAUAGUACAAAAUAUCACUUCACCACUCUCACUCUCUCACUAGAGUAAGGCUGAACCUCAAAAUUCAAUAUAUCUAGCACAAGUAUGAAGUGCUAUCUUUCCUUUUGGAUCACGUUGAUGGAAACACAGAAUAGACCAACAAGUGGCUGCACCUAUUAUCAAGAUCUACUCAAAUUCCAACCCACAAUAGAUUGGAUGCAGUUGUGACUAGAUGGUGACAAGAACUCAAAACUCUAAAGGACUAAACUAAAACCAGCACUGGACACGACCGAAGCAAACACUCAUUCAACUAGACCUAACUAAGUAGUACUAGCCACGGCACAAAGGAUUUAUAGGAUUAUGGAAAACUAAUCUGCUAUAUUUUUUGGCUUUUUUUGGACUAUAGGAAAAACAAACACGAAGAAUUGGAAAUCUCUCACCGAUAAACCUUGCUCUGAUUACCAACUGAUGUGAACCCACUAGGGUUUUCGCCUGAUCUUUCGAUGAGAGGCGCUGGAUAACUCGAUUAGUGAAUGGAGAUGACAUUCACGGCCCGACUACAGCCUUCUAAGGCCGCGCCUUAGCAACCGAUACACCGCCUCCAAUGGCUGUCACGAUCUUGUGGAGCGCAACACCCGGCCACUAGGGCACUCGUCCUGCAAGCAAUCGAAGAACCAGCAAGAACAAGUAGAACAAGUACUAAAUUACUAGAUGUAAAUGAAGGUUUCAAACUCAAUCUCUAAUGAAGUGGGGUUUCGAAAACAAGAAGACGGGCGGCUGGAUCAGCACGCGCGUUUACAAGCAAGUAGCGAAGGCUAAACUUUAUCUAAUCAAAACCCAGUUGUUCAUGGCGGCUCUAGAUGUAAAUAAAUAGAUGGGAGGACGACCAAAGGGGUGCUAGAGUCGUCCUCCAACCCUAGGACACGUCCCUAAUGGACUCAACUUGAUACAUGGGCCAUUGGUCCAAAAUAGAGUGACGCAGCACCAAAACAGAAAAACAUGUCGGCACAAAAACAAGGACUGCGCCCGACUCAUAAGCUGCAUAGAUAUGUGGUUGGACCCAUUGGAAAGUAGACUUCAUGAGCUUUCCAACAAGUAUAGGAACGUCCCAGUUGGAGUCAUAUGACGCCGUGGUGAUCCAUACAAGUUAGAGUUAUUUUCCAGUCCGAAUCCAACUCCCAAAACGUGUUGGGUUUGAACUCUUUGUUUCCUUGCUUUAGAAGCGACGUGGUAACUUGAUAGAGGAUGUUGUGGAGGCUUGGACCUGAUCUCCAAUCACCUUUCUUAAGUUAUCACUCUUCCCAUAUGCAAUCAGCCCUUGAAGUUGGUGUUGCCUCAAAUUCCGAAUGCAGUUGAACCUUCCCUUGCUGAUCUUGUCCAUUAUUCCUGAGCAACACGUAAGUGCACGUGUCUCCAUUGUCUAAAUAUGAUUGACAAGAGUUUAAAACUGAACUUACUUGAAGGUUGAGUUGACGGGCACGAGCAUGAGUAAGAGGACCAACUGGUGUAGGUAUAUCGAUGGUGUUGAUGUCCUCAUCAUCCUCCCUUUCUUGGAUUUGAGUCGUCCUCAACUCAAGCUCAUGUUCCUCACCCAAAUAUGGUUUCAAAUCAGCAAGUAUGUCCUCCGUCUUCUUUGCUCCAAAAUGUCCCAUCAAACCUCCUCCAUGAGCUUCCUGUAACAACAACAAACGAACAGAGCUAGCUGGAAUGCAUAGCUUGUUAGCUCUAAACACAAACCCAUCACUAACGAUGAAUUUGUUCCAUCCUUUUCCAUCUUUACAACGCAGCAACACUUCAUUAAAAUCAGCAUCAUGAACAUAUUGGUCUUUGAUCGUUUCUAAUCCAAAAAUCUUGUAAUCAAGUUGAUUUAGCAAAGUAUAUCUCCUUGACAAAGCAUCAGCAAUGAUAUUCUCCUUCCCUUUCUUGUGCUUAAUAACAUAAGGAAAGGAUUCAAUAAAUUCUACCCACUUAGCAUGUCUGCGAUUUAGUUUUCCUUGACUACGAAUAUGUUUUAAAGAUUCAUGAUCAGAAUGAAUAACAAACUCUUUGGGCCACAAAUAAUGUUGCCAUGUUUCUAAAGUUCGGACAAGAGCAUACAAUUCUUUAUCAUAAGUUGAAUAGUUCAGAACAGGCCCACUCAAUUUCUCACUAAAAUAUGCAACAGGUUUACCCUCUUGUAGCAAAACACCUCCCAAACCAAUCCCACUAGCAUCACACUCAAGCUCAAAAUUCUUAUUAAAAUCAGGAAGCUGUAGGAGAGGUGCAUGUGAUAACUUAUCUUUUAACAUGUUGAAGGAAUUCUCUUGUACUUUGCUCCACACAAAAGGCACUCCCUUCUUUGUAAGCUCAUUCAAUGGUGCAGCAAUGGUCCAACUGCCCAAGCUUGUCAUUCGUCACCUUCAAGUCGUCAUCAAGUCCCUCUGUGUGUAGCUUCACUUGCCUUUGAAAAUGUUGUAUGAUGCCCUUAGUGCGAGGUGACUGUGGAAUUUUGUUGGUAUCCUCUGUCUCUGACAUGGUUUAAAAAACACACAGUGGAAACAAGAAAAAUAGGUGAAGAAAUAAAAACCCUACAGCUAUUAGGAUGUGGCUACUGUAAGACGCUCUCUAUCAACCUGUCUAACAAGUUCUUACCAAUUCUUACCUUGCUCAACAGGAGGGAUUGGCUACCAACAAAUCCACAGCAAUAGACGAAGUGUAUCGGUGCCGCAGCAACAAAACCUAUCAAGCUGUAGAAUAUGUGGAGCUAUAGGUGGGCUGAAACAAGGAUCGAACUAGCACCACGUUAGUUAUAAAAAGCAAGUUGAAUAAACGCUCAACGGUGGUACUGUGCUGGUCCUAGCCUAGACCGUGCUAGAGACGCGAGCCUGGACACAAAGGGAAAACACAGCACACCACUAGAAACAAAAUGAGCAGCCCUACUGGAAACAAAAGGAACAACAAUCCCCUUUUUUAUUUUUUUUAUUUUUUCUUUCUUUCUUUCUUUCUUUCUUUCUUUUUCUUUAUUUCUUUCUCUUUUCUUUUUUUUGGGAACCUCAAAACCUGAUUAUAUAAACAAAAUAGUACAAAAUAUCACUUCACCACUCUCACUCUCUCACUAGAGUAAGGCUGAACCUCAAAAUUCAAUAUAUCUAGCACAAGUAUGAAGUGCUAUCUUUCCUUUUGGAUCACGUUGAUGGAAACACAGAAUAGACCAACAAGUGGCUGCACCUAUUAUCAAGAUCUACUCAAAUUCCAACCCACAAUAGAUUGGACGCAGUUGUGACUAGAUGGUGACAAGAGCUCAAAACUCUAAAGGACUAAACUAAAACCAGCACUGGACACGACCAAAGCAAACACUCAUUCAACUAGCCCUAACUAAGUAGUACUAGCCACGGCACAAAGGAUUUAUAGGAUUAUGGAAAACUAAUCUGCUAUAUUUUUUGGCUUUUUUUUGACUAUAGGAAAAACAAACACGAAGAAUUGGAAAUCUCUCACUGCCACCACUCUGACGUAUCAGCCGCCAUGACGUACAAGCGUGCAACGGACAAACCGGCCCAAGACGGCGUACAGAGCGGGAUCUGAGGGCACGCGUAAUCAUCAUCAAGCUACCAGGACGGGACGGCUCAAGACCACGCCGGUACGGAGGCCUCGAGUAGGUCAGCGCGCCAGUGAUGUGAACCCACUAGGGUUUUCGCCUGAUCUUUCGAUGAGAGGCGCUGGAUAACUCGAUUAGUGAAUGGAGAUGACGUUCACGGCCUGACUACAGCCUUCUAAGGCCGCGCCUUAGCAACCGAUACACCGCCUCCAAUGGCUGUCACGAUCUUGUGGAGCGCAACACCCGGCCACUAGGGCACUCGUCCUGCAAGCAAUCGAAGAACCAACAAGAACAAGUAGAACAAGUACUAAAUUACUAGAUGUAAAUGAAGGUUUCAAACUCAAUCUCUAAUGAAGUGGGGUUUCGAAAACAAGAAGACGGGCGGCUGGAUCAGCACGCGCGUUUACAAGCAAGUAGCGAAGGCUAAACUUUAUCUAAUCAAAACCCAGUUGUUCAUGGCGGCUCUAGAUGUAAAUAAAUAGAGGGGAGGACGACCAAAGGGGUGCUAGAGUCGUCCUCCAACCCUAGGACACGUCCCUAAUGGACUCAACUUGAUACAUGGGCCAUUGGUCCAAAAUAGGGUGACGCAGCACCAAAACAGA
rnacentral:lncRNA from 1 species